ensembl:lncRNA
UUUUCCUCUAGUAUCAAUCGGAAUAUUUUGAAGAUGAAAGGGAUCUUAGUGAUUAUUCGGUCUCCUGGCUGUUUUACAAAUAGUUAUUUAAUGACGUAUGUUUCUCACUGUCUGAAUCUUGGUUCAGUAACAUAUACUCAAAUAUUUUCAUUUUUGAGUUGAAUAUCUGUUGGAUGGAUACCCAAACAGCCCUUCCCUCAGAUUUUCAAUUCCUUACUCAGGCUUCCUGAAUGUCUGGCUGUCGAGUGGCUCAUCCAGUUAGGAAACAGGUGGUGGUUUGGGGUCUUUAUGCUUUAAACCUGAGUCUUGCCAUGGGCUCCUGAAUUCUGAAGCCAGUCCCUUGACAGUGAACAAAAAACUGCCCAAGGUUCAGAUUUACAAACACGAGUUUUGCCAGGGCUGUUGUGAUGAAUGCAAUUAACAAACACCACACAAGGCUCGCCUUCCCCUUUUAAAGUACUAUUGCAUGCUACCGCCUGUUAAGUAAUUUAGAUGAUCUAGGAUGUUAAUAACGAAGGUCUGUGCUCUGAAACAAGACGCAGCGAAGAGGUGCAGGACUGUGGUUCAGCUCCAGCCGGUAGAUGAGACGUGAACGCAGCAGCCAUCUGUGAGGCUCGAUGAAUGCCACCCGAGCUUCACCGCGGCUUGAACUGUGUUCCACGCAUAGCAAGAAUACUGGAACAGGUUGCCAUUUCCUACUCCAAGGGAUCUUCCUGACCCGGGGAUCGAACCUUCGUCUUUUGCGUCUCUGCACUGGAACUGGGACAAGGAUCUUUCUACUCAGGGUCCACGCUGCAGUCUUCCUCCCGCCUCUCCCCCUCCCUGCCUGCAGGGCACAAGUGCUGUGUGCCAGGCAUCGUGCGAGCACCAGGAUUUCCGUGAGUUUCCUGGGGAGCUUGUACAUUAAGCCAGUUUCCUGACUGAAAGGGGCCUACAAUAAAGUAAAAAGAGACAAGCAUAAAAUCAAUUAAGGGCACCAAAAUGUGAGAGAGGCUGUGACAGAAACAGUGACAGGGAGUCGUGUGAGAGAGAAGAUGGGGAGGAUUGGUCAGUGGCGUGUGGAAGUGAGAGAAGGGGAACUCUGAUGGAUUCAGAAAAGCUUCACGAAGCCUCUUGACGAUUCCAGCAAAGUCCGCCAUAAGCGUCGGCCUCAGACCUACAUGAAAGUCGCCUUUCUCGAAGUGUGUUUCCAAGAGAAAAUCUGUGUAGCAAGAGGUUUUGCUGCCAAAUAAUUUUGUGAAAUAUAGCAUGUUCUGGUAUUGGAAAUUCACAAUUCUUAUUAAGAUAUCUAGGACAUAGAAACUCUUCCAAAAGAAACCUGUUUAGAUGUGUGUCUUCCAGCCAAGGUGUGGAAUUACGGAGCUUAAUGCUUUUUUUUUUUUGAGAACAAUUAAACUUUUUGGAAAGCAGUGACUUAGGCAGGCAGAUCUUCUCUGCAGGCAGCUGUGAUUUGGCUGUGUGAUGUGCCGAGCCCAUCAGAAGUGGAGACGGGCCCUCUUGGAUGUCAAUAUCCCCCAACUCAGGUCAAUAAGAUCACCGAGAAUGCUGCUGCCUGGACGGAACACUGAGCCACCUGAGAACAGGCCUUCACGAUCCUGGAAGGAGACAGGAGAAGGGGAGGAAGCAAGCUGGAGGGGCAGCCUGAGUUUUGCUGAUUUUUCUGUCAUUCAGCUGGCCCACGGUUCACUCAGAGGCCGUCCUGAGAUGGAACUGCAUUCCUGGAUGCGUGACCGAGAGGUCGCUGGGGGGGAUGGUGUGGGGGCCCCCAGCG